GAUUGAACGCUGGCGGCAGGCCUAACACAUGCAAGUCGAGCGGAUGAAGGGAGCUUGCUCCUGGAUUCAGCGGCGGACGGGUGAGUAAUGCCUAGGAAUCUGCCUGGUAGUGGGGGAUAACGUCCGGAAACGGGCGCUAAUACCGCAUACGUCCUGAGGGAGAAAGUGGGGGAUCUUCGGACCUCACGCUAUCAGAUGAGCCUAGGUCGGAUUAGCUAGUUGGUGGGGUAAAGGCCUACCAAGGCGACGAUCCGUAACUGGUCUGAGAGGACGAUCAGUCACACUGGAACUGAGACACGGUCCAGACUCCUACGGGAGGCAGCAGUGGGGAAUAUUGGACAAUGGGCGAAAGCCUGAUCCAGCCAUGCCGCGUGUGUGAAGAAGGUCUUCGGAUUGUAAAGCACUUUAAGUUGGGAGGAAGGGCAGUAAGUUAAUACCUUGCUGUUUUGACGUUACCAACAGAAUAAGCACCGGCUAACUUCGUG
rnacentral:rRNA from 1 species